rnacentral:rRNA from 1 species
UACGUAGGGUGCAAGCGUUAAUCGGAAUUACUGGGCGUAAAGCGUGCGCAGGCGGUUUGUUAAGUCUGCUGUGAAAUCCCCGAGCUCAACUUGGGAAUUGCAGUGGAUACUGGCAGGCUGGAGUAUGGUAGAGGAAGGUGGAAUUCCCGGUGUAGCAGUGAAAUGCGUAGAGAUGUGGAGGAACACCAGUGGCGAAGGCGGCUUUCUGGUCUGUAACUGACGCUGAGGCGCGAAAGCGUGGGGAGCAAACAGG